AGCAUGCGAUUUGUUUUCUUGCUGCAGCUGAACGUCAAUCUAGAAGCGUUAUCGCGGCCCCUCAGGCCCCCGGUCGGCAUUUUUUUAAAUGGAUCUCAGAAGAAAAACUCAGACGGGUCAGACGGUGGAGCUGGAGCUUUUGUUUUUUGAAUUUUGUUGUGUAGCGGAGCAACAACCGAGAGGACGUCAUCUUCCUACCCAGCUAGCCACCUGCUCGUCCCCGGAGAAUUCAAACCGGAAAUGGCCACAACAAAACAGGAUAAAUGUAAAAGAGAUUUGACGAAGCUCUACAGGAUGUUCUGCAGCUGAAGAGAACUGUAGAAGAGACGCGCUAAGUCCGAUCCUGAAGGCGUUCUGACGAUUACCCAACUCACAGAGAACCUUGAGACGUUAAUUUGGACCCCCGCACUUCAUGCCAAGAGGGCGAGUCGAUCUUCAGGGAUCUGCAAGCUAAUUACAGCUCCCAGAGUGAGAAAGUUAAUCAACGUCUCCUCAUCUGUGAAGCAUUGUUUCCAUUUUUAAACUCCAUGAGGUCAAAGUUCAGAGUCCCUGUCUUGGCCGCUGUUACACGCCGGGUCUCUACAUCAAACAAAGGUUUGGAAAAUCAAUCAAUUUCGGUAGCAUUUAGCUUCUUUGGUGGUUAAUGUUUCUGCUCAGCUUGACAACUUACUGCACUCGGUUGGAAAAUUAUGCGCCAGAAGUGUUUGCAAUGUGUGUAGGAGCUGCAAGAAACAUGAUUCAUCAAGUCUGAAAGGACCCUAAACUGCAGACGCAUUCCCCAUAGGCCUCACGGUGAAGGAUGGACUUAAGGGUGCGACUAAGUGAGCGGUUGGGCCGCAGCGUGUUCGCCUGUUUGGUGCAGGGAGGAGGAUGAUCUUUGACAGAUCUCUGAACAUCACACCCUCCUGACCACCCAGGCCUGCAGGACACACACACACCCUCUGGGUUUGGAGUGAUACUCAUGGAUCUGUUGAUGGAUUAAUGACUCAUGUGUGUUACUGAGGCAAAAAGACUGUGUGUCUUGUGUGCGUUCUUGCAUAUUUCUUGUUGCUGUUUUUGCCGUUUGCGUAUCAAAUCGCACGUGUUGACCACUGUUGCCAGGAAACAACCGUGGUGGCCAUUCUCUGGUGAAGCUUGGUGGGUGCUGCAACCCCCCCACGCCCCCCCACUACCUCACCUACCUCACUAGAAAAUAAAAAACAAUACCAGAAUGCUGCUAUAGUCAGAACUUUAUUCUAGUGGGAGUUUGGAUGCGUUCCGACUGUUACCGGCCACAUCCUCCAUGUUUAUAUUCUUAUAUUUAACAAAAUGUCGCCCGAUUGCAUCACGAAGAAAAAAACGGUGCAAUUUUUACGAAAUGGUUUGUUUUUCUAAAAUGAAGUUUGCACGUGGCUGAAAGAGACAUGAAACUGUAGAUUUUGUUUAAUUCUGAAAGUUUAUUUUGAAAGGCCACUGUAUGCAUGUAACAAGCAGAAAACACAGACGCUUAUUUAAUAAAAGACCCAA